CCUACGGGGGGCUGCAGUGGGGAAUAUUGGACAAUGGGGGGAACCCUGAUCCAGCCAUGCCGCGUGUGUGAAGAAGGCCCUCGGGUUGUAAAGCACUUUCAGUGAGGAAGAACGCCUGGUGGUUAAUACCCAUCAGGAAAGACAUCACUCACAGAAGAAGCACCGGCUAACUCCGUGCCAGCAGCCGCGGUAAUACGGAGGGUGCGAGCGCUAAUCGGAAUUACUGGGCGUAAAGCGCGCGUAGGUGGCUUGAUAAGCCGGUUGUGAAAGCCCCGGGCUCAACCUGGGAACGGCAUCCGGAACUGUCAAGCUAGAGUGCAGGAGAGGAAGGUAGAAUUCCCGGUGUAGCGGUGAAAUGCGUAGAGAUCGGGAGGAAUACCAGUGGCGAAGGCGGCCUUCUGGACUGACACUGACACUGAGGUGCGAAAGCGUGGGUAGCAAACAGGAUUAGAUACCCGUGUAGUC
rnacentral:rRNA from 1 species